rnacentral:rRNA from 1 species
CCUACGGGUGGCAGCAGUGGGGAAUAUUGGACAAUGGGCGAAAGCCUGAUCCAGCCAUGCCGCGUGUGUGAAGAAGGCCUUCGGGUUGUAAAGCACUUUCAGUGGGGAGAAAGCCUUGGGGCUAAUACCCUCGAGGAAGGACAUCACCCACAGAAGAAGCACCGGCUAACUCCGUGCCAGCAGCCGCGGUAAUACGGAGGGUGCGAGCGUUAAUCGGAAUUACUGGGCGUAAAGCGCGCGUAGGCGGUCUGAUAAGCCGGUUGUGAAAGCCCCGGGCUCAACCUGGGAACGGCAUCCGGAACUGUCAGGCUAGAGUGCAGGAGAGGAAGGUAGAAUUCCCGGUGUAGCGGUGAAAUGCGUAGAGAUCGGGAGGAAUACCAGUGGCGAAGGCGGCCUUCUGGACUGACACUGACGCUGAGGUGCGAAAGCGUGGGUAGCAAACAGGAUUAGAUACCCGUGUAGUC